rnacentral:lncRNA from 1 species
CACAAUGAUCUGAUUAUGUUCGAUCUUGGGAUUUUCUCACAUAUCACCCAUCUCACAUCCUGCCCCUCCCUCUCCAUUAGGUCACACACAAACACCAUACAAUGUGUUCAGUUAUAGAUCCUCCACAAAAACAAUUCAUGAAAUGUUCACUUUAGUCCAAUUGCACUCGCCACAUUGCUUAGAACAAAUCACAGAUUGCAUAUACAGUAUUUUAUAUUUUAUAAAACCCUCGAAUAACCAGUUAAUUGUUCAGAAUAUUUUAUUUAGGCUUUAGUUGGUAUUGAAUAUAAUGUGGUUUUCAAGGAGCCUGGCUCGACAGAUUAGAUUAUGAUGAGUCAUAUGGACAAUAUGCUGCAGUGCUGAUAGAGGCCAUUGAGGAAAUCAGUAUUACGUGGACUAGAGACGCCAACAACCAGGGUCACCAGCAGAUUGCUGAGAAGAAUUCUCGUCUAGCGCGGAUACUGAACCACACCGCCCUGGGUAUCGGCAUCACCGUCAUCGUCCUGUACAUUGUCUACGCCAUCAUCCUGGGCAACCGUAUCAACUGAUCUGACACCUCAACACCGGCUAGCACCACAGCCACCGCUUCUCUCAACCCCAGCCCCCAAAAUCAUCCUAACCUUGACCACAUACAAUAGGUGCCAGUGACAGGCACUUUCCAAAGAGAUACAUCCCACUGGGGACACACUGGUUGAAUCAACGUUGUUUCCACGUCGUUUCAAUGAAAUGGCGUUGAACCAAUGUGGAAUAGACGUUGAAUUGACACCUGUGCCCUGUGGGAUAUAUCAUAAUGCUGUUUAUUCAUCAAUGUUUAUGACACACAUUUUGAAAAACUAUACAUCUAAUGACUUACUUUUUUAAAUACCUGCAGAACAGAUAGUUUAAAUCAUUCAUUAUUUUGCCUGUUUAAUUGUAUAUUUAAUAUACAUAAAUAAACACCAAAUUAUGGACACUAAUUGUAUUUUGGAAUAUUUCUAAUACAUUUCUGAAGGAUAGUGUAUGUAUAUUCAGUGUGUAUGGAUAAGUCAUAUCAGAGUUUAGAGACAGAUUUGACAAUGUUAUGAGAAUGCAGCAGAAAGAGACUAUUCUUAAUCUGAGAGGACAUGUAUUACUGGUUGUCAUUACACAGAGUGCCAGUGAGGUUACCACUCACAAGAGUAAACAUUUUACAACUCAAUGUCAAGUAUUUACUUAUUGUUACACAAAUGUAUCAAUUUGCUCAAUUCAGUGUUGUGGGCUGUCAGCAAUGACACAAGCAAGACUCAACUCAACUUAUUUUGGUCAACUGUGGAGACUAAGGCCUAGAUUCAAUUUAAAGGUAAUUUAAAGGUAAUUUCCAUUUGAGUCGACAUAUGCAGCGUUUACCGUGAACGCAGUCUCUCCGCAGUCGCAGGAACAUUGCCUUCCACGCUACGGAUUGAAUCUAGCCCUAGAAGUCAAAAUAAAUUGCAGCGCUGUUCCAGUUUGGCCUUACAGUUGAUUCAUUUGGUAAAAAUGUCCACACUAUCAAUGUCAUUUAGAGUCACAUAUUGCCAGAUUAUGUAUAACACUGUAUAUGUUAGGUAUAUAUUUUAUUUGACUAUGUAUUCAGUGUUGCUCAGCUCUUCUAUUUACCAAGGGGUUGUACUUUAUCCUUCUCUGAGUGUGUAGUUGAUGGAAAUAGUGUUUACCUUGUAUCAUGUCUGUUUGUUUGUGAAAACACAAAGGAAGAGACCAUUAUAAGAAUGCAG